rnacentral:rRNA from 1 species
AACGAACGCUGGCGGCAGGCUUAACACAUGCAAGUCGAACGGGCACCUUCGGGUGUCAGUGGCAGACGGGUGAGUAACGCGUGGGAACGUACCCUUCGGUUCGGAAUAACCCAGGGAAACUUGGGCUAACACCGGAUACGUCCGCAAGGAGAAAGAUUUAUCGCCGAAGGAUCGGCCCGCGUCGGAUUAGCUAGUUGGUGGGGUAAUGGCCCACCAAGGCGACGAUCCGUAGCUGGUCUGAGAGGAUGANCAGCCACACUGGGACUGAGACACGGCCCAGACUCCUACGGGAGGCAGCAGUCGGGAAUAUUGGACAAUGGGCGAAAGCCUGAUCCAGCCAUGCCGCGUGAGUGAAGAAGGCCUUAGGGUUGUAAAGCUCUUUCAGCGGGGAAGAUAAUGACGGUACCCGCAGAAGAAGUCCCGGCUAACUUCGUGCCAGC